rnacentral:rRNA from 1 species
AUACGGAGGAUGCGAGCGUUAUCCGGAUUUAUUGGGUUUAAAGGGAGCGUAGGUGGGAUAUUAAGUCAGCUGUGAAAGUUUGGGGCUCAACCUUAAAAUUGCAGUUGAUACUGGUUUCCUUGAGUACGGUACAGGUGGGCGGAAUUCGUGGUGUAGCGGUGAAAUGCUUAGAUAUCACGAAGAACUCCGAUCGCGAAGGCAGCUCACCGGGCCGGAACUGACACUGAUGCUCGAAAGUGCGGGUAUCAAACAGGAUUAGAUACCCUGGUAGUCCACACAGUAAACGAUGAAUACUCGCUGUUUGCGAUACACGGUAAGCGGCCAAGCGAAAGCGUUAAGUAUUCCACCUGGGGAGUACGCCGGCAACGGUGAAACUCAAAGGAAUUGACGGGG